UACGGAGGGUGCAAGCGUUAUCCGGAUUCACUGGGUUUAAAGGGUGCGUAGGAGGGCAGGGAAGUCAGUGGUGAAAUCUCCGGGCUUAACUCGGAAACUGCCGUUGAUACUCUCUGUCUUGAAUCCCGUGGAGGUGAGCGGAAUAUGUCAUGUAGCGGUGAAAUGCUUAGAUAUGACAUAGAACACCAAUUGCGAAGGCAGCUCGCUACACGAAGAUUGACUCUGAAGGCACGAAAGCGUGGGGAUCAAACAGGA
rnacentral:rRNA from 1 species